rnacentral:rRNA from 1 species
AGUGAACGCUGGCGGUAGGCCUAACACAUGCAAGUCGAACGGCAGCACAGUAAGAGCUUGCUCUUACGGGUGGCGAGUGGCGGACGGGUGAGGAAUACAUCGGAAUCUACUUUUUCGUGGGGGAUAACGUAGGGAAACUUACGCUAAUACCGCAUACGACCUACGGGUGAAAGCAGGGGAUCUUCGGACCUUGCGCGAUUGAAUGAGCCGAUGUCGGAUUAGCUAGUUGGCGGGGUAAAGGCCCACCAAGGCGACGAUCCGUAGCUGGUCGGAGAGGAUGACAAGCCACACUGGAACGGAGAAACGGUCCAGACUACUACGGGAGGGAGCAGUGGGGAAUAUUGGACAAUGGGCGCAAGCCUGAUCCAGCCAUAGCGCGUGGGUGAAGAAGGCCUUCGGGUUGUAAAGCCCUUUUGUUGGGAAAGAAAAGCAGCAGGUUAAUACCCCGCUGUUCUGACGGUACCCAAAGAAUAAGCACCGGCUAACUCCGUG